GAUGAAGAACGCAGCGAAAUGCGAUAAGUAGUGUGAAUUGCAGAAUUCAGUGAAUCAUCGAAUCUUUGAACGCACAUUGCGCCCGCCAGUAUUCUGGCGGGCAUGCCUGUUCGAGCGUCAUUUCCACCAUCAGGCCCCCGGGCCUGUGUUGGGGACCUGCGGCUGCCCGCAGGCCCCGAAAUUCAGUGGCGGUCGCGCCGUAGCAACCGAGCGUAGUAACUAAAACGUCUCGCUCUGGCUCGCUGGGCGCGCUCCGGCCGUAAAACACCCCCCCUUUUCGCAAAGGUUGACCUCGGAUCAGGUAGGAAUACCCGCUGAACUUAAGCAUAUCAAUAAGCGGAGGA
rnacentral:misc_RNA from 1 species